rnacentral:misc_RNA from 1 species
CUAAUGUAGACGAGCCUUUAGAGAUUUUUUGAGAUGAAGAAAAGGGGGAAAUACCCGGGAAAUUACCAAAAAUUUUCAAGCGAGCAAAUAAUUCCCAGGAGUUCAGCUUGUCUCACUGAAUAUCAGGCCUAGGCAGGAAUUGCAAAGAUUUGUCUCAAGCAAGAUUUAUUAGUAAAGCUUAUCAUAUAACUUAAAUUAUAAAGAAAAAAGAAAAAAGAAAAGUAAGCUAUCGCCACACGCAAAGAGAUUCGUCGAAUUUGUAGAUCAUAGACGUAAACAAUUAACUUUUUAACAGAAACUUUACAUACUACCUGCCCCUAGUUCGACAUUGUCAUGGGUUUGUAGCCUUUACAGAUCUAGAAAGUAACCUCACGUUAGAAGUCAACCAUCAGAAACAUUGAAUUAAAAAACACAACAAAAGAAAACCGGAUCAAUUAUUACACCGUCUCUGUCUCACCGACCGCGUCCUUCUUUUCGGCAUGCAUUUUUGAGCGCAUCAAUUGCUGCGGAUGAUAAUGUCUUAAAGUUAAGUUGCAAUUAAAUUGCAUACGAUUUCGAAUGUGUUAUGAAGAAAUAUUUCAUCCGCAAUACCUUUUGUAUAACGAAAAGCACAGCAAACGAUGGAAGAUACUGCAAAAUCUGAGGAUAUCGAGGCGAGUAGUGCAGCUCCUGGAAGUUCCCAAGCGAACCAAAUGUUUCUCGAUGUAAAACCUUCGGUAGACAAUAAGAAUACGCAGGUUCGCGUUGUUAGAGGUACUAAAAAGCUCAAACCUGAUAAUAACGAUCCUGCCAAUAUCGAGAAAAAGGACGUGAAAGAUGAGGAGACAACAGAGGCUAAGGUCAGGCCUCUCAAACGUUCCUGUGAAUUAUGGUCUAUGGAGGAUAAGAAUACCUUUUUCAAGGCGCUCAAUGAAUAUGGGAAAGACUUUGAUGCUCUGCAGAGCUACUUUUUGAGUCAGGGAAAAAAGAGGGGCCUGUCCGAUGCUAUUAUAAAAAAUAAGGAACAAAUUCGACAUUUUUAUUAUAGAACUUGGCUAAAGAUAUCAAAGCAUCUCAAGUUCUCAGAAGAUGUAAAAAAGACCGCUCAGGAAUUGUAUGGGUUGAUAAAUUAUGGUGAACUUAGAAGGAAGCUACCUCGUAUUCAUGAAAAGGUCCACUUGAGAUUGAACGAACUGGUAUAUUGGGGAUCUACUCAGGUCAGACUUAGAGGAAAGACUAUGAGAAUCAAAACUCCUACAUGCAGAGCUCUUAGGAAGCUAAAUCAGUUGGAAGAUUGGCAAGAGGAAAUUAAAUUGCCAUCUAGGAUAACAGUAGAACUGAGACCACGCAACAAUAUGGCUUGGUGGCAGGUACAAGCAGCAUCCAUGAAUCCGCGUGUACGAACGCUUCUACCGAUACAAAGACGCCUCUCCACUUUGUUGAUAUUUUUACAACAACGGUGGCGACUCACAAAAUAUGCUACAUGCACCACUGUAGAAAAUCUCAUUGCCAAUGAUGUAAAAGAUACUCGAUUGUUAAGAGUUGCUCCCCCAGAAGGAUGCAAAAUUGCUUUACCGAUGGUAAAUCUUGGAGAAUAUCUCACUAGCAACAGCCUCAGCUUAAAUUCAUAUGAGAAACGUCUCGGCUUAAAGAGCUCGAGAGUAGAUUUGUUGGGAUCUGUUCAGCAUUUGAAGGGAAUAGGAAAAAAGGGGAUCAAACGGUAUAAAUUGGAUAAGAAGAUCUUGAGUCGCACAGAUGAAAAUUGCGCGCUGCCAGAUACCAGUAGCGACAUAGACCUCUUGGAGACGGGGAGUAGCGUGUCCGAUAAAUCAGCAAUUAUAAAUAACACGGAGAAACCAUCGUCUGAACAGCAUUCAGAGCCCAGCAGAUUCCCAGGUAGAGAAACCGUCGAUAGAAUUCGAAGGGGAUGGAACGUCGAGGAAGCGAACACGAUCACUAUGGGCGAUCUCUUCUUAAUGUUUGGUCGCGAAUCGAAAAUCGCAUUGGAAUAUUGGUGGGAUUGGCUACCUAGCGAGCAGUGUACAACUGAUUCAGCCUCAUCGAGCGUCGUGCGCGACGAUAAUUUAUGUUUAGUCUUACAAAAGUUAUUGUCACUGGCGAAACAUAAUUACGGCACAAACAAGGUGUAUGAUAACACGUCUGGAAGCAACGAAACUAUAAUCUCGUCUCGCGUUCCAUCCAUUAAGGAAUCUAUAAAAGAAUCUACGUUCAGGAGACCUCUCAUUCCACAAGCGUAUCAUAAGACUGGCACAGCUGACGCGUUCAAAACGCAACUUGACAAAUUCAAGACGCGCUUUUGUAAACGAGGUAGAACCGUGAGACAGAAGAGCCUCGUGAUACAAAGGGUACCGCCUAUCGUAUCCUCGCCGAGUAUAUCAUCCGAAAGUUUGACAACCGAUGAUCCGAGCAAAAUCGACGAAUCUUCAUUGUGUCAUACGCAAACUAACAAAAUGGUAGCGGUAAAUACGAGCGAGACCCAGAACAAGAACUUUCUAGAUGCAUUGGAGACAAGCGGAGAUGUGAAAAAUUCCAAUUCCAUCAUCACCAGUGCUACUCAAAUCCUCAAGGAAGGUGAACACCAGUGGCUGAACAGUGAGGUCGCAGAUUUUUCAUUAAGUAGCUUCCUGGGACAACUUGAAUCACCCAUAAAAAGCUCACAGAGAAGUCAAGCGGGCGAACAAAUCAUGGACGAUGCACGUCCUUCUUCCGAUGUUGUAUCGCAUAUGCAAUGCCUCAUGGUAGAAAACAGUGUGGAUUACAUGGCAAAAUUUGCAAAUCUGGCUUCGCAGAUAGCUUCAGACGAAAAUAAGAAAUAGAUAACUCGCGGGAACUUGUGCACCCUUUUUCCAGAUGAAAACUCGUAGGAAAUGUAACAUCACUGAUGAGUCGUCGUGAUUUUAAAGUGGAAGUAUAGAAUAGUUUUGUAAAUAUGCGAAACCAUCGUUGCGAAGAAACGAAACAACGAAUGAUACAGUAACCGCUACUUCCGUCAUCGUCAUUAUAUCACGUUGGUUCCCUUUCCUGAGAAGAAACCGCCAUCACCGUGUUAUCCUGAGGUGAUAAAGAACAAUCGACGCGAAUCAUAGAGAUACGAGGGGAGAGCUAAUUGCUCCGUUGUUUUAAAUAUCAACUUUACUGUUGAUACUUUUGUCGUGUGUAGGAAUGUAUUACAUUGUCAAAUAUUACGACGACGGACAUGUGAGUGACGACGAGUACGUGAAAAUUCACAACAUUAAAAAUGCUCAUUAGUUUGGAGCGAGCCUCAAGCUAAUGAGUGGAACAUCCCAGCGUCGUCAGUGUGGAUGCCUGCGUUCUUGGAAACGACGGCCUACAGCCUUUCCUCUAGAGAGUUGCGAAAUACACAUCAAAAUGAUUCAUAGCGCUUACGUCCGCGUGACCACCGACGUGUGUACGUUUAUCUAGAAUCCGCGUUAGCUGCAGGUGCAAUUAUCCGCACAGACGUAAGCGAUACGUACUCUCUUGGGUAAUUUUCCUGCGAACUGAUUGAUUAUUCGACCAAGUUGAAUAUUUCCCAUUAAUUGUAUGUAGUUGCUACAACUAAAUUCCGUACUGGGAGUUUCCCUGUUGGCUACGCGAUUGAGAAUACGCUAUGUAGUAGUUCCCUUCAGUGUUAUUGCAUAUACAAAAGAGAUACAGGGGACCACCACGGUGGUCCCCUGUAAUAAUUUAUCUAUCUACAUUUUGUAUCGCCCGACGAAAUUUAAUGUUGCAGCUGUAAUUCUUCGUGAGAUAAUGUGUGUAUUGUAUGUUCUGUGGUGUGCGCGCGUGCCCAGAGAGAGAGAGAGAGAGAGAGAGAGGAGAGGAGAGGGAGAGAACAAACUUGAAGAUAUCCAUCUUGUUAUUGCUUGCAUGCAUUUUUGUGAAUUUUUAUCAUGAAACGUUAUGCGUGUGUACGUGCGCGUGUAAAGUACAAGAAUUAUAAUAUAUAAAACAAUGAUAUGUAUAAAACGAAUAAUAUAUGACGGUGUAAGGAAGAUCGCAGCUGUACCGACGUGCACAACAUAUAUCUACAAGAUACAUCAUGUUGUACUAUAAAUAAACUCAGGCAUAGGCGCCUCUACUGCGAGAUACAAAA